rnacentral:lncRNA from 1 species
CUGUUCCUACUAUUUCAAUGAAUAUUGUUCUUCCUACUACUACCUACUACUACGACGACGACGACGACGACGACGACGACGACGACUACACUACUUGUACUGAUAUUAGGAAAAGGAAAGAAAGAAGGAGGAAGUCCAAGGUAAGGCGAGGGCCCGAAAAUGAAAAUGUUACUGUUGUUGUAUUAUUAGACUUGCUAUUGCUACGGCUGUUCCUACUAUUUCAAUGAAUAUUGUUCUUCCUACUACUACCUACUACUACGACGACGACGACGACGACGACGACGACGACGACGACGACGACUACACUACUUGUACUGAUAUUAGGAAAAGGAAAGAAAGAAGGAGGAAGUCCAAGGUAAGGCGAGGGUGUGAUGUUUAAUCAAUGUUGGAGGCCGCCUGGUUUGAAAUGGAACCCCCCCCCCCCGAGGAAGCCAAGGCCAAGGCCAUGGCCAAAGGAGUGGUUGUAGCAAAGUGGGCGACCCCCAGGCAGGGCCAAAGAGGACAUGGGGGGCGUGUUCGGGGAGGACCCCAAUGGCAGCCCCAGCGCCCGGGGAUGGGGGCUUUGUCUUCAAGUAGGAGCCCCGGAGGCUCGGGGAGAGCAAGGCCAGGUGGGCUACCGGAUUUGUCCGGGGCCAGGUGGGCGCGUGCGAGGAGCAGGCGUGUCCUGGGUGGCGUGUGGCGGGCUGUUUUGCUGGUGGAGCCUAGGCAGGCUCGGGCAGGCUCGGGCGAGAAAGGCGAUGGAGAAAGGGCGGAAGGGAGGGCACGGUGGGGUAUCCCGUUGUCGGGCCAGGGUGGAGGAGGGUGGCGGCGGGACUGAAGAAGAGUGGGUAAGACAGGAUUGUUGAGCAAAGGAGCGGGGCGGAGAAGAGCGGAGCGGAGCGGCGGCGGGAGAGCUGGAAAAGUGGAGCAGGCGAGAGGCGAGAGGCGAGAGGCGAGAGGGGAAAAAAACCAAAAGAAAAAAAUGUGUAGCCCAGGCUGGCCUCGAACUCGUGAUCCUCCUGCCUCUGCCUCCUUCAGCAAAUCCUACCGGCGUGCGCCACCACAACCGGCGACAGAACGGCGCCACACUCCCCUACUCGAACCGCAGCUUCCAUGACGUAGGCCUCAAAGACACACCUCCAACCCACACGCCCGACG